rnacentral:rRNA from 1 species
AUGAACGCUGGCGGCGUGCCUAUACAUGCAAGUCGAGCGAACAGACGAGGAGCUUGCUCCUCUGACGUUAGCGGCGGACGGGUGAGUAACACGUGGAUAACCUACCUAUAAGACUGGGAUAACUUCGGGAAACCGGAGCUAAUACCGGAUAAUAUAUUGAACCGCAUGGUUCAAUAGUGAAAGACGGUUUUGCUGUCACUUAUAGAUGGAUCCGCGCCGCAUUAGCUAGUUGGUAAGGUAACGGCUUACCAAGGCAACGAUGCGUAGCCGACCUGAGAGGGUGAUCGGCCACACUGGAACUGAGACACGGUCCAGACUCCUACGGGAGGCAGCAGUAGGGAAUCUUCCGCAAUGGGCGAAAGCUUGACGGAGCAACGCCGCGUGAGUGAUGAAGGUCUUCGGAUCGUAAAACUCUGUUAUUAGGGAAGAACAAAUGUGUAAGUAACUAUGCACGUCUUGACGGUACCUAAUCAGAAAGCCACGGCUAACUACGUG